UACGUAGGUGGCAAGCGUUGUCCAGAAUUAUUGGGCGUAAAGCGCGCGCAGGCGGUCCUUUAAGUCUGAUGUGAAGGCCCACGGCUCAACCGUGGAGGGUCAUUGGAAACUGGGGGACUUGAGUACAGAAGAGAAGAGUGGAAUUCCACGUGUAGCGGUGAAAUGCGUAGAGAUGUGGAGGAACACCAGUGGCGAAGGCGACUCUUUGGUCUGUAACUGACGCUGAGGCGCGAAAGCGUGGGGAGCAAACAGG
rnacentral:rRNA from 1 species